rnacentral:rRNA from 1 species
AUUGAACGCUGGCGGCAGGCCUAACACAUGCCAGUCGAACGGUAACAGGAAGAAGCUUGCUUCUUUGCUGACGAGUGGCGGACGGGUGAGUAAUGUCUGGGAAACUGCCUGAUGGAGGGGGAUAACUACUGGAAACGGUAGCUAAUACCGCAUAACGUCGCAAGACCAAAGAGGGGGACCUUCGGGCCUCUUGCCAUCGGAUGUGCCCAGAUGGGAUUAGCUAGUAGGUGGGGUAACGGCUCACCUAGGCGACGAUCCCUAGCUGGUCUGUGAGGAUGACCAGCCACACUGGAACUGAGACACGGUCCAGACUCCUACGGGAGGCAGCAGUGGGGAAUAUUGCACAAUGGGCGCAAGCCUGAUGCAGCCAUGCCGCGUGUAUGAAGAAGGCCUUCGGGUUGUAAAGUACUUUCAGCGGGGAGGAAGGGAGUAAAGUUAAUACCUUUGCUCAUUGACGUUACCCGCAGAAGAAGCACCGGCUAACUCCGUG